CUUUGAACCCCUCUUCUCCCUCCUCUCUUUAUGUAACAGAAAUCUCGAAUUUUCAGAUUUUUUUUAUCCGUUUCUCACCAGGAAAGAUUUGAAGAAACAAAACCAUUUCACCAAAUUGCUUUAAAUGGGAUACCUUUCUUGUAAGGCAGAAUCAGCUAUUGCCAUCUCCAGCACAACUUGUCAAUUUACUUCCAAAACCGCCCAAAACAAAGUAGAAAAGCCCAUCAAGAUCCAGCAGUUUCACUACAGUGAUCU
rnacentral:misc_RNA from 1 species